rnacentral:rRNA from 1 species
UGGGGAAUAUUGGACAAUGGGCGAAAGCCUGAUCCAGCCAUGCCGCGUGUGUGAAGAAGGUCUUCGGAUUGUAAAGCACUUUAAGUUGGGAGGAAGGGCAGUAAGCGAAUACCUUGCUGUUUUGACGUUACCGACAGAAUAAGCACCGGCUAACUCUGUGCCAGCAGCCGCGGUAAUACAGAGGGUGCAAGCGUUAAUCGGAAUUACUGGGCGUAAAGCGCGCGUAGGUGGUUCGUUAAGUUGAAUGUGAAAGCCCCGGGCUCAACCUGGGAACUGCAUCCAAAACUGGCGAGCUAGAGUAGGGCAGAGGGUGGUGGAAUCUCCUGUGUAGCGGUGAAAUGCGUAGAUAUAGGAAGGAACACCAGUGGCGAAGGCGACCACCUGGGCUCAUACUGACACUGAGGUGCGAAAGCGUGGGGAGCAAACAGG